CUUAAAUUGAAGAGUUUGAUCAUGGCUCAGAUUGAACGCUGGCGGCAGGCCUAACACAUGCAAGUCGAGCGGUAGCACAGAGAGCUUGCUCUCGGGUGACGAGCGGCGGACGGGUGAGUAAUGUCUGGGAAACUGCCUGAUGGAGGGGGAUAACUACUGGAAACGGUAGCUAAUACCGCAUAACGUCGCAAGACCAAAGUGGGGGACCUUCGGGCCUCAUGCCAUCAGAUGUGCCCAGAUGGGAUUAGCUAGUAGGUGGGGUAACGGCUCACCUAGGCGACGAUCCCUAGCUGGUCUGAGAGGAUGACCAGCCACACUGGAACUGAGACACGGUCCAGACUCCUACGGGAGGCAGCAGUGGGGAAUAUUGCACAAUGGGCGCAAGCCUGAUGCAGCCAUGCCGCGUGUGUGAAGAAGGCCUUCGGGUUGUAAAGCACUUUCAGCGGGGAGGAAGGCGGUGAGGUUAAUAACCUCAUCGAUUGACGUUACCCGCAGAAGAAGCACCGGCUAACUCCGUGCCAGCAGCCGCGGUAAUACGGAGGGUGCAAGCGUUAAUCGGAAUUACUGGGCGUAAAGCGCACGCAGGCGGUCUGUCAAGUCGGAUGUGAAAUCCCCGGGCUCAACCUGGGAACUGCAUUCGAAACUGGCAGGCUAGAGUCUUGUAGAGGGGGGUAGAAUUCCAGGUGUAGCGGUGAAAUGCGUAGAGAUCUGGAGGAAUACCGGUGGCGAAGGCGGCCCCCUGGACAAAGACUGACGCUCAGGUGCGAAAGCGUGGGGAGCAAACAGGAUUAGAUACCCUGGUAGUCCACGCUGUAAACGAUGUCGAUUUGGAGGUUGUGCCCUUGAGGCGUGGCUUCCGGAGCUAACGCGUUAAAUCGACCGCCUGGGGAGUACGGCCGCAAGGUUAAAACUCAAAUGAAUUGACGGGGGCCCGCACAAGCGGUGGAGCAUGUGGUUUAAUUCGAUGCAACGCGAAGAACCUUACCUGGUCUUGACAUCCACAGAACUUUCCAGAGAUGGAUUGGUGCCUUCGGGAACUGUGAGACAGGUGCUGCAUGGCUGUCGUCAGCUCGUGUUGUGAAAUGUUGGGUUAAGUCCCGCAACGAGCGCAACCCUUAUCCUUUGUUGCCAGCGGUUCGGCCGGGAACUCAAAGGAGACUGCCAGUGAUAAACUGGAGGAAGGUGGGGAUGACGUCAAGUCAUCAUGGCCCUUACGACCAGGGCUACACACGUGCUACAAUGGCAUAUACAAAGAGAAGCGACCUCGCGAGAGCAAGCGGACCUCAUAAAGUAUGUCGUAGUCCGGAUUGGAGUCUGCAACUCGACUCCAUGAAGUCGGAAUCGCUAGUAAUCGUAGAUCAGAAUGCUACGGUGAAUACGUUCCCGGGCCUUGUACACACCGCCCGUCACACCAUGGGAGUGGGUUGCAAAAGAAGUAGGUAGCUUAACCUUCGGGAGGGCGCUUACCACUUUGUGAUUCAUGACUGGGGUGAAGUCGUAACAAGGUAACCGUAGGGGAACCUGCGGUUGGAUCACCUCCUUA
rnacentral:rRNA from 1 species